rnacentral:sRNA from 1 species
AAGAAGGAGAAGAAGAAGAAAGCUAAGGACAAUCUAUCUACAAUUACUACAAAUAAGGACUACAAAAACUACAGAGAUAUGUACAAGCAGGAGGACAACUACAACAAAGCACCGGCCAGCAUGGCAAACGCAAUGCAGAACAUUGCGCCGCAUACCGGCCGGCUCCGUUGUCCCCCUGUGCAGGAUUAGUGGCACCAUCUGGAUCUUAAGUGGCGAUGGCUGGACUUGGGAAUGGCGUGCAUCGUGGGCUCUGGUGGUGUUGUUGGCGAGCGGCUCUGUUCCGGCCGCCCACGUUGCAUCUGUCGCUGGUAGGUGUUGGCUGCUGCAAUCGAGUGGCACUGGUCCGGCCACCCAACUGCAUUGUCGGUGGCAUUGGCAUUGGCAUCGAAAUGUGAUGCCAACGUUUUGUGUUGAUUGGCCGCAUCAAAGUGGCUGCUGGUCCGGCCACCAGGAUACGUUGUCGAUUUUGUUGAUUGGCCGCAUCCGAGUGGCUGCUGGUCCGGCCACCAGGAUGCGCUGUCAGGUGGAUUGG